AUUACAGUUGAUCCUGAGGCCAAAUUUUGUGCAAAUCCUUCCACCAGUAGAUGUUGAAAUGUUUCAUUAAAGUCACAGAAUCACCAGAGUUGGUAGAAUUCAUCCUCUGAGCACCAUGAAUGUCUGUACCAAAUUCUGUGCUAAUCGGCCAGGAUUCUAAAACAGCAGGUAGGUGUUGACAUCUUUGACCUGCUGGUGGUGCUAUAUGAAGAGUCAGGGAAUCACCAAGGUCAGUAGGAUUCGUCCUCUGGGCGCCCUCUGUAUCUGUACCGAAGCCCAUGGCAAUAUGGUGGUUGAGGUAUUUUAGUCUGGACCGAAUUGUUGGACUGACCAAACGACUUGUUGGCGUGACUAAAAACACAUUGCACAUCUUCUUUGCAGGACACCGUACUUUAUUCACCAAACGUUUUCAGCUGUUUUGUCCUCAUUAGAGUGAAAGCAAAGCAAACAAACUACAGGACUGUGUGAUAAUUAAAAGAUAUGUAAUUAUGUCAUAAAUUCAAAAGCCAAACUGCCAUUAAAUCCAUCUGCCGAUUGUGAACUGCCAGGAAAGUGAUCUUGUCUAUAUUUACACAGGCACAUUUUGUCUUAAAAAAGCAUUGGACCUUUAGUUUGAGGUUACAGUGUCACUUUUUUAACAUUUAAAAUAAGCCCAACCACCUGACUUGGAAAGUACAAAGUGAGAGUUUGGUUCCCAGUACAGAACCCCAAGUUCCAAGUUAUAAUUGAAUGCAGAGUUUCCAUACUUUGAUUUGUUUCUGUGGGACCAGCCGAUUACCAGGAAUAAGGACUGUCAAUCUUAACACAGCCUCAAAGAAAGUUGCUUUUUCUUCGUGUUUACCAUCAGUAAUCAUCUUUUUACACACUGAGCAAGAUACACAAAUACACACAGACAAAUGGACUUGUGCUGCAGAUCAAACUCGGAUCUUUGGUGUGUUGCAGCGAUGCAAGUGGAGAAACAAACCUUCCAUGAAACCUAACGAAGCUUCAAGUGUACAUUUGUUACAAUAAAACCAGGUGGUAUUACUGUGCCAAAGCAUCUUCUGCACACGUUCAUUUCCCCAAUGCGAUGUCCUCGUCGCCCACUUAUCCCUGACCCUGCCUGUCUGAGGAACCAAUGGGCUCAGAGCUGAGAGCCACAGACGGAGGACGGAGGUCAGACACAAACUGCUGACGGCUGCAGGUGUCUUACCAGAGGCAGCAUGGCCGAGGCGCUGGGAGAAACCUGCCCUCUGUAGUGGUUAUGGAGCUCCACCAGCAGCUCCUCCUGCUCCUCACUCAGAAAGCUCCAGG